CUGGUACAGCGUGAGACCUGCACUUGUUCAUGUGUGCUGAUGGAGCUGGAGCUGUGUCAGGCUUCCUCUGUACCCUGGCUAUCGCUGAAACCUCCUUUCCCAAGGCCUGGCUUUGAUUAGCAAAGAAGUUAUUUCAUUAGUCGGGGGGGAAUCUGUCAGCAGAAGCCUGUUUAAAUUUCAGCACCCCAAAGAAUAAUGCUUAAAAUAGUGGGAUCCAUUCCACAGUCUGUUCUUACUAUCAACCUGAUAAUUAACAGGUCACAAAUAGACUUGUAUCACUGCUUUGUUUCAGUGGAGGAGAGCAGCUUAACCCGCCUUGAGGACACACUUCGCUUUGAAAUAACACAUGCCCGUUUCAGAUGAAAUCAAUAGCAAGAAGAACCACCCCCUUCUGUUGCUCUGAAACUCUUGUCUUCAGCCUCCUAUUGCCUCAGAGAAUAGGCUUGAUCAGACCAAAAAAGGAGGGAUGCAGAGUGUGAGGCUGCCUGACAGCUCUGGAGCUGGUGCCUGCUCCACUUGGUGUAUAUCCUAAUCAUUAUGGUGCUUAGAGCUUUGUUGAAAAGCAAGGUGGGGAGCAUUCCCUGCAUGGGUUUUAACAGGAUCUUCUCUUGUUUUAGUCUCAUACCCAUUUGUGGUUGCAAGUUUAAUUGUUUUUAUGAGCAUUGCAUGCUAAACUGGGAACAACCUCUCUUUUCUGAAUUAUUUGGUCAUUCUGCAAGCCUGUCACUACUCUCCUCUGCAUUCCCCACGUGGUGAAUAGAUGCCUUCAGAAAUAAUGUGGAGGAGAUGAUGUCUUUGAGUAAAAUGCUGUGAGACCAAUUGCUUAUAUUGGGUGGGGGCAUAGCACCAGCCUUGUAAGCAUGAGUCCAGCUUGCAGACUGUUUCAGACUAUGCUAAAUCUAUUGCUGAGGGAUAAGGGUGUUCCCAAAGCUUGGCAUAUGCCUGUGAUUAAUAUUUUUUAUUUAGGUUUUGCCUCACUGUUGAAAUGUUUUGUCUAAACCCUGAUUUCUGGCUAUUAUUCGCUGAUAUUGGGACUCUACAUGUGAUGGCUGGAUGUACCCAGCUGAAGCUGAGCCUAUUCAAAGGACAGUGUUCCCCACAGCACUUCUCCUGAGGAGUGUCCACUACUUGCAGCUGGAGGAAGUUUUCAGGACUUGCUUGCUCUGUGUAAUUAGUAUAAGACUUAGCUGGUAGAUAAAAAAGGAAUUACCAUUUCUUUGGUCUGGCAAUAGCUUAGUGAUGUCAGUGACACAUUUUUGCAAUAUGCCAAAGCCUUAGGAUACACUGGAGUCAGGUUUUAAUUUUGGCUUCAGCACAAAGUGCUCCUGGUACAUGAGCACCUGGUCACCCAAGCCCUUGUCAGAGCAGACAGUGGAGAGUGAGGAGACUGUGUGUCAGGCCCCUGGGUGCACAGUGAGCCUCACAGCCCUGACCAGCCUCACCUGGCAGCUCCCUGCUGUGCCCUCAGUGCUUGCCUGAGCCAGGCCAGAGGGGUUUUCAUGCCCAGUGCCCCUGCAGCUAUGCCUGUACCUCACUAGGCACUGUGCUGUUCUAAACCCUGACCCACAGACUGAUUUCCCACCUUAACCUUGGACCUGCCUUGCUGCUUUGCACUCACUUGAUGACUUUGGCUCUGGCCUUAGCCUGGCUGCCACCCCUGUGCCACCCUAUUCUCCUCAUUCAGGUAAUGUGGGGUGGGCAAGUGAGGAACGUCCUGGCUGUCACACUUGGCUUGUGGCUGCAACGGCCCUUCUGCUUUCCCUCUAGGGCAAAAGAUUUUCUCUCUCUAGUGGGCUUGUCUGUAUUCUUUUGCUUUUCUAAGGAUGCUGCCUGUGUCAGAAACUGUUGCACACUGGAGACCUUCCUGACAGAUGCCACAGUCCUCUCCAUGAGCUUGUCUGCAGUCAUGGGACCUUAGAAAACACAGGGUUGGAGAAGGGGCCGUUGGAUGGUACUGAGCUUCCUUUGAUUCCCUAGAAGAAGCAUAUCUUUUGAGUUGGAGAGAUGUGAAUAAGGGCCCAAAGUUCCAUGAGAUGUUUGACUUGCCUGAGUUCGGGUAUAGUUCAACUGCUAAAGGGUGGGGUGGAACAGAUUGGAAGGUAAAGGCUCCCUGCACCCAGAGCUCGCCUGCCAUUUUCCAUACAGGAAGAUUAUGCAGGAAGCUCUGUCCGCCUUGGAGGGCUGGGGGGCUCAACAGGGGUGCAAGAAUGAUUCUGCCCGGAUCAGUUUACAAGGCUGGGACCAUACAAUAUAAGCUCUUGGAGGCAAGGGCUGUGUGUAUCUCCAUACAGUGCCGAUCACAAUAGGGUCUUAUUUCUGUUUAGGGCUUCCAGAUGCAAUGCUAGUCAGUGUCUAUAGUAAACAAUAAUAUUAAUAAUAAGUAUUAACAUGCCAAGCUACAAAUCACUGGCAUAGUUUUCCAAUAUUGCUGGUUGCUUUCCAGUAUUGUCCUCCAGCCUCACUGCAGUAUAUUGUAUACAAAAGAAUUGAAACCCAAUAAUUGGCGUGUCAAGAGUUUGAAGGCAUGAUCACAUUUUUUCUUUUGAAAUCUGUCUAUUGAAACAGACAUCACAACAAGAAAGUUCAUUGGCCUAAUAAACCCUGUGUCCAGCGUGCACACACUGUUCUGUAUCCCAGGACAUCAGUAAUUAAGCUGGUAACGAGGCUGCUGUUGCAUAGCAUAACCAGCAUGAAGAUGUUAAAAGUUAAACAUAAUGGGAGAAUAAUGUAGCAAAAAUGUAAACAGUAGGCUUCAGAUAUGACACUUAUUCUCACUUAUGGGAAAACAGCUGAAAGGAAAGCUUUAGCUCAAAUUUGUUUUCUCUGCUUUACUGAAUGUAUAAAAAGUCUACAAUGACUUAGUUCUUCUGGCCACAGUAAUGUAGCUUUACACUUGAAACAGAAAUACAGGUUUAAAUUUAGAUUUUAAUUUCAUGUCUUAUUGCAGACAUGGUAGAAACUUUACACUUAAGUAACAUUUCUUCUAUAAGCCAGCUCCUUUUGUGCUACUGAAAGAAAUAAUAAUGAGAAAGUAUUCCAGCAGGAGGAGCUGGUUUAGAAGCAAAUGGAUUCCAUGGCAACUCCUGACUCUACAUGACACCUAAUAACUAGCAUUUAUGUUGGAAAUUGUCUGUGUUAUCUUGUACCCCAGAUCUGAUCUUUUUAUAGGGUUUUCCCCUUAUUUUAAAGCAAAAUACAAGUAGGAUGGUGUUUUUUAAAUAUAGAUCCAAAAAUAGGCAUGAAAUAUUAUGAGUUUGUCUUCCUCAAAUGUGUGCUCAGGCAAGUUGUUUUGAAAGGGAUUUAAUUUUUUAAAAAAAUUAUUUCAGAAAUAAUAUAUUUGCUGGGAAAGGUAUUGAUCUGUCAAGGGAAGAGCUUUAUAGGAACAGAAUAAUGGAACUGUGUAUGUUUUAACACCAUGAGAUAUCCAUAUUCAACAGUUUGAAGCAUAAUACAAGAAGAUCCAAUUGAAUCAGACCAGCAUCUUGGUUCUCACAGUGCUGAAUGCACCAGGGGAAUCUCGUCAUGGGGCAGCUGGAGAAUAACCCAGUCCUAUGGGCAUCCUGUCAGCCAGUCUGACUGAUUUAUGAUCUGAAGAAUGUGGAUUUAUUUCCUUCUCUGCCAUGAUCCAAUCUAGUGCAUGUGUGGGGCCUGACAACUGCUGUUGUUUGAGUGUGGAAUAUUUGUACCUGCUAUUUUAUACCCAAAUUGAAAGAAAUCUGUUCUUAAACUGUCACAUGAUAAGUAACCUUUGCCUGUGACUGCUUCAGUACUACUUCAUGACUGAGAGAACAUUAGCUGAAAUGAACCCUGGAGAUGAAGAAUUCUGUGGAUGCUUUGUGGCCUGGCUGUUUUCUUAGCCAGCUGUUGCUUGAGGGUCUCAGAUGGUAGAAGAGCAUAGCCUAGGCCUGGAAAAAGUAUGUGUCUCCCGUGGUCAAAUAAAAGCUGAUUCAAGUUUGUGUUGUUUAUCCCUUUUUUUUUUUUUUUUUUUUUUUUUUUUUUUUUUUUUUUUGUAUGAGUGAAAGAACAAAGAAAGUGUGGCUGAAAAAAAGCCCUGUUUUUGUGGUUGAUCAGGGACAAGUGCAAUCACAGAGGGCGUUCUAAUGUGCAGAAGUUAAAUGGUGGCCAAAAUGAGAAAGAUGAAAGUGUCUGGAGUAGUCUAAUCCUAUUGCUAAGAGUUAUUGGUAGCAUUUAUAUUUAAAUAUUGCUGCCUUUUGAAGAUGUCUAAGACCAUUUAAUUUUUGCCCAAGAAAAAGAGAACUUUUUACCCCUUCCUGUCCAUAGAGAUAAGAUAGGUCUAAACACAGAGUAAUCAUUCAAAACAGGGAUUAUUGGUCAGCAAAUAUACUAAAUGGAUGAGUAGAAAAUGUGUCUUGGUAUAGUGAAUAUUUUAGUGUAACUUACAAUUAGAUGCUGGCAUAGACUUCCUUGAACAGAGACCCUGAUCUGGCACAAAGGUAUUUGUGACUAACACUUGGGAUCAAAACCAAGCUACUCUCAGAAGGGUUAUAAGUGAUCGUAAAGUAAAUGUGAUUAAAAAAACAAAAGAGGUAAGGCUACAGUCACACUUUAGGAACCAAUUUGAUGAUAAAGACAUAGGAAUGGAAAAUACAGAAUGUCCAGAGAAAGGUGCUCUGAGUAGUGACAGCAGUAAGAAAAUAAUUUUUAAAAUUGUGCAUGUCUUUAUUUUUAUCUGCAAGAGUAAGUGCACAACAGAAAAAAAGAAAGGAUAUAAAUAAAGUAAAAGCAGUACUAUUGGGAAAUUGAAAUGGAGGUGAGGUGAAGGCUAAAACAGAAGAGAAGCCAUAGUUAUGAGAAAGGAAAAGCAAUUAGUAAAAAUAGAAAUUUCAAACAGGGAAUUACUUGAUUUAUCCUUCUUUCUGUACCUCCUUACAUUGAUGUUUCUCAUAGUCUUAAGAUUUGUGGUUUGAAGAGGACAGAACAAUUUUGCAUUGGUGAUCUGAGCUGGACCAAUAUUCUUACAUGAAAAUAAAAGUGGCAGAUAAAAGAAUCAAAUCAUGAUUGUGGGCAAAAUAUUGCUGUUUUUCUUAUUUAGUAUUGACUGUUCAAUUGCAGGAAAAUAAAAGGGUGUAAGUAAAGAAAUGAAGCGGUAGAAGUUAAUUUUAAAUGAGUUUGUCUUCUCCAGUUACGCAUAAACCUGAUGCAUAGGCAGGGAUCUGAUUCCAGGCAUUAAUCUUUUCUGCUCUUUCAAAAGAUCAAAGCAAUAUUUCUCUUCUAAAGUUAGUUUUGAUGGGUUCUUGCCCUCCUUCAGUGGCAGUGGCAUCAGUAACUGCUAAAUUCAAUGGCUUGCUAUUUUCAUAUUACUAAAUAACACAUUUAUGUUCCUAAAUAUUUAUGUAUAUUGUAUAGAUACAUACAAAAUCCUACCAUGAAUCUAUUCUUCCUUCCCUAAGAAAUGUUGACGUAACUGACUCUAUUUUAUUAAUGUCACAUGCUGUACUUCCAAAUGCAAAGAAAUGUAUAAUUUUUAAAUGCAGACCAGAUAACAUUAAGUUGGUGUGUUAUAACAUGAGAGCUCCAAGUGCAGUUGUGUAAAAUGGAAAGAAGAGCAUAUGCAGUUUAAAAAAUUAAGACUUUCAGUGAUAUAGCUAAGAAAAGCUUUUGAAAUAGCAAGGGUCUCACCCUAAAUACACUUAGAAUAGAAUUGACGUGAAAUGCUUAAAUUCUCCUAACUGGUGAAUAUGUAAAAUUUGGUGUCUCAAAACAGGCUGGAUAACUGCACAUGAAGAGGAAAGCAUAGCGCAGAGAUGGAACACAGAAAUGUAACUUACCUUUGGUUCUGUUCAUUUCCUGAGAAGCACCUGUAUAUCCCAAAAGGUGUUCACUGAUAGAAUUAAAUUAAUCCAGCUGUUUCCCCAAGACUUUCAGAAAAAUAGGAUCUGUAGGCUCAGGAGGGGGUGUGAACUUCCUCUGAAAAUUUUGCAGUGGUUGUACAACGUCCAGGACCUGGCACCUGACUGAUCACCUCCUAUAAAGCACACAGAAAGAGAACUGAAUGUGUAGUGCCAGCCUCUCAGAGUGUUCCUGAGCUUCAGAGACUUUACCCAGCUGUGAUUUCUUCUACAUUUCUGGGGAGCAUUGCAAAAGAUGGCACUGCAAUUACACAUAACUGGGGAAAAGCAAAGUCCUAAUGCUGCAUGAACAUGUCUUGCAACUUCUAAACCUUUUGCUAAGGUGUCUGUGAAACCUUCUGAUAUAUAUUCUAUUUUAUGUAAAUGAUGGAGGCCAUCCUCUCUUGGGGAGAGCAUGUAUUUUCCCAAUAUCUGCAAGCAGGAGGCUGCAAGGUAUUCUCUGCAUGUAGGAGUCAAAUAAACGUAUGAGAGGCACAAAGGCAGGACUUGAACUUGACCAGAUCUGUAUCACAUGUGUGGAUAUAAUCUACAACUAUUUCACUUUCGUCAGCUGGGAGCAUUUCACUAACAAGGAGAACUGAGAAAUCUCCACAUUCCUCUUUUCCCAGAUUAGCUCAUUCCCUCUUUGAAUAAAGUCACAUAGAAUUAAAAUUUAAAAUUAAAUUGUCAUUUGCCUCAAUCAUACAGCAAACUGUGAUGUAUAUUUUGCACCUGUCUUA